rnacentral:rRNA from 1 species
AGUGAACGCUGGCGGUAGGCCUAACACAUGCAAGUCGAACGGCAGCACAGGAGAGCUUGCUCUCUGGGUGGCGAGUGGCGGACGGGUGAGGAAUACAUCGGAAUCUACUCUGUCGUGGGGGAUAACGUAGGGAAGCUUACGCUAAUACCGCAUACGACCUACGGGUGAAAGCAGGGGAUCUUCGGACCUUGCGCGAUUGAAUGAGCCGAUGUCGGAUUAGCUAGUUGGCGGGGUAAAGGCCCACCAAGGCGACGAUCCGUAGCUGGUCUGAGAGGAUGAUCAGCCACACUGGAACUGAGACACGGUCCAGACUCCUACGGGAGGCAGCAGUGGGGAAUAUUGGACAAUGGGCGCAAGCCUGAUCCAGCCAUACCGCGUGGGUGAAGAAGGCCUUCGGGUUGUAAAGCCCUUCUGUUGGGAAAGAAAUCCAGCUGGCUAAUACCCGGUUGGGAUGACGGUACCCAAAGAAUAAGCACCGGCUAACUUCGUGCCAGCCGCCGCCGUAA